CCAGAUUUUUUUUCUAUAUAUCGUUUUGGCCAGGUAUAGCUUUUUUUAAAGCCAUACGCGAUUAAUAAUUUGGCCGGUGUGGGUUUGUGUGCUGGUUUAUCUGAGUGCCAAACUUAAAACGUUUAGUGUAGUCAACUUGGCCUCAGUGAUAGGGGUAAGGACUUGUUUGUUUAGGCAAGGCGGAUAUUCAUUGGUGGGGGAUUUUCUACACCGCCGCCAUCUUGUGAAAGUUGGUUUACACUAGCAACGGAAGCGUUACAGAACUAAUGUGUGUUUUCAGUAACAAUAGUUUGAUGUGCAGAUUAAUUAUUCUUAGUAUAUGAUUGUAUGUGGUCUUUGACCGAAAUACAGUCAGGUUAGAUAACUCAUAACACUAUACAAUAUCUUGAAGACGAUAGGAAAAUACUCUCAAGAUGGCUUCUCACAAUGGCUGAAGGCCCUUUCGUUCAUUGACUUCUGUGAUUUACGAUCGUUCGAUUUUUCUUAAACCGGUAAAAACAAUCGGAAGUUAAUCAGACUCAAGGGACACAAGCCACUUGCCUUUGUAAAGUACAAUUAAAAAAACUAGCUAAUGAGAGAGACAAAUUACAGAGGCCGGAGAGUCAAUCCACUGACAAUGGCUACGAGAGUCAACUCAAGCUACAGCAGGCUAUGCUGAGGAGACAGGAGCUACUGGAUCGAAUCCGA